UCCCUGCCUACCUGAGGCCUUCUAAAGGUUUUCCUGCAUUUUGUUCUGAGCCCCACUGUGAGACAAAUGAAUGCUUUCCUCACUUGGAAGAUGCCUGAAAGGAAGUGUGAAAUUCAGGAGGCAGAGGCUGCAGUUUUCAAGAAGCUGAAGGGAGAAGACUGGAGAGGACAAGCAGAAGAGGAUGAAACGGGCCAGCUGGUGUUCUGCAGACUGUGCCAUCACUGGGAUCCCAGGGCCUCCCCUUCUCUGUGUGCUGGCAGAGGCCGCUGUCACUGGAACCCAGAACCACGCACUGCCAUUUGCAGACCCUGAUGUCAAACAGCAUGGAGAGCUCACCAUGUGAAAACCAGUGCAAAAAGCACUCGCAGAACUCAGCCUUGAGCAACUUCCUGAAAAUGGAACUGCUGCACGCUAGCUUUGAUAACUGUAGCAAGUUCAUUAACUUUUCUUUCCACUGUGGCCUUGUAGGGAAGUGCACAGAUUCUUCAUGCUCUGAACCAUGCCCAGAAACUGGCUCCCACCUUCAGGACAGAUGCGAAUGGAAGCAAAGCUACAGCUUGGCUGUUACCUAUGGUAUAGAAAAGGUCCAGAGCCAGUUUCAGUUUAUCACAGGCUGACAACUCUUGUUCUCCAAAGCAACAGCAUCCCACUGUUUCGCAUCCUUAACUGCAAGUUACGUCCCUUGCAAGUUUGCUUUGUGAACCUCAGAUCCUGUGAACGUGCCUGUGGCGUGAGGUACAAAGGGAGAUAGAGCAGGCUUUGUGUGUGCUGCAGCUGGACACACACCCAUGUACAGGAGGUAGACAUGCAUGCAUGUCCUGUACUAACAGCACGCACUCAGGCUGCUCCUACAGAGUGAUGCAUCUCAGUGCCUGCAGAGUGAAAGCGACAAUUCACAGCCCCUGAAGCCCAUUCCUAUGGCCCAGCUUGGGCUGGCAUCUUUGCUGCAGGAGCUCGUUUAGAGCACAAAUCAUCCUUCCAUUUGCUGCCUGAUGAGCUGUGGAGUUCUGCAUCAGCUGAGUGGUAUGAAAUUAUGACCUUGGAACCGCUGAUCAGGCCGAGCUCUGGUUUUCAUUACAGGCUCUUGGAUAACAGUGGAAAUGGGCACCUCUUCUGGACCUGGACUCAGAAAACUCAAUGCAGCAUGCCUCUCCUUGCAGGUGAGUGACAGGGAACUCGGUCACAAAUUGUUUCUCUGUUGACCUUAAAUCAGCAGCAGCACCCUGGGUUUCAGCUAAAUUACUUUGCUUUUUAACAGUCCAAGUAAAUACAGAUCCGGCACACUCGUGCAACUCUGUCAUAAUGGUGAAGUUUGAAGCUUGCUGGCAAUCUUGUGCUUGAUCGUAUCAUUUGCUCCUCUCAAUUAACUCCCAGCUCACUGGCAAUUAGCUUAGGAUCUUUCUCGCUGCAUUUCCUGGCAGGGUGUUGAUGCAGUUCUGGAAUGUGAUUAUACUUUGCUGUGGUAUAUUUGAGUGUGUCUUAAUAAUAGGCAGGAAUUGCUCCGUAAAUACUACUAAUGUGAGCAUAUCACACAGCCCCAGACUCGUAUGUUGGAAAUUUUUGUGGAGUGCUCCUUUACAGCUUUAAUGGAGCUAACAGUAGUUAAUGUGGUAACUCAGGCAUUGAGAAGUUCAUUUGUAUUCUCACUAACAUCUGCAGGCUUGCUGCAUUUAAAUGCUAACUUUUCUUUUAAAUGCUCCCUUCUAUACUGCAUCUCAUUUUAGGUAACUUUCAGCAGCUGCAGAAGAGAAUGGCUUAGUUCUAUCCCAUCACCUCCUCCCUGCCCUUUCAUAGCAAGUAGACAUAUUUUAGUUCCUGUGCUCUUC